ensembl:lncRNA
GGAAUUUAAGAAUUUAAGAUUGCUCUGCAAGCAGGCAUGAAAACAGUCCUGCUUGGUUUGAUGCAUCCAUGUGGAUGCCCACAUGCAGGGGUCCACACAUAGGAGCUUCCAGCACCAACAUCUAAACAAGGCAUUGAAACUCCCCAUCAGGAUACCUUUAUUCCCAAAGGAAAGGCCAGUCCUGUAACACUCACCUCCCACAGGGAUAAGGUGAGGGGGAAAGCAGAGGAAGAUGAGCAAUCCUGAGCAUCACUGCCAGGCAGCAGCCAUCCCAUGCAGGUAGGCCACAUGGCAGCACCACCAGGCAUCUGCAUCAGUCCCACAUUGAAAAGCUGCUCCUCUCUGGCUUCCAUUGGCUGCAGACUGAAGCUGGUGUGACAGCCAGCAGAGGACCUGGCUGAGGCCUCUGGCUGGCACUUCAUGCCCUCUCUAAACAGGGGCUGUCACAGGUGCUCGCUCCCCCUCCCCAGCAGUCCCCUGCGUGUCAAGCUGUAAUCCUGCCCUGCUGUUCUGUGUUUCUGAAAGCAAAGCUUCCUACCUUCUGCUUUGCUAUUACCGUAGGGAGCAAGGAAAAGUUGACAAACCACAAGUUUCUCAGCACAAAACUUGAACUAGUUUUUGGCAGUGUCCUGAACAGGCAGCACAUUCAACUUGGCUCUGUCGCUGAUCCAUCCGCUCAAUCAGGACAAGCCACAACUCACAGACUCCGCAAUGGGGCUGCUCACACACAAUGAUGAUGGUACUCUGAACUUCACAGGGCAGGCACAAAUGGAAUGAGGUGUCCUUUGUCUUGAUGCUACACUGAGAUUAGGUAGCAGCUCUCUGAAAAUGAAAGGGCAUGGCUCAAAUUUUCUUGGAAUCACCAUCUUCAAGCUCUCACCCUCUCUCUGCAAGACAUGACCCAAACAGCUCAUCUUCCUCUGCUCUGCCUGUCCAAAGAGAAUCCAUUAUAACACCAGGUGUUGAAAAAGCCAGAUAUUAUUAUGCAGUAUGCAGCAAACCAAUGCAUGUAUAUUUGUGCAUGGUGUGUGUGUGUGUGUGUGUGUGUAUAUAUCCAACUAUUUUCUUGAGUAUUGUGAUAGAGCUUGGAUGCCAGAAAAAGUAUAGUAUGUAAUUUUCCUUGGUGAUGACCUUCAGAGGUUCUCUUCUCCCCUUGAUUGGCACAUGUCUCCAUGGGGAAUCAUUAUAAUAGACCCCUAUUUCUCUACCUACACUGUCAGGGGCUGCUAAAACUAUACUUCAUUUACCCUACUCUACCUUGCUAUUGCACCAUAGGUAGCAUGAAUGAUCACCCAGAGUUCUGACGUUGUGUUACAUCUGAACAUCCUGAAAGGAAUUAAAAUAACGAUAGACACUUCUUCCUUCUUUUUGUCAGAACAUUAAUAGUUCUUUCUUUUUUCCUGUGUGAAAUCCACACCGUAUUUUCACUCUCUUGCAUGAUAGGUAAAGGCAGGAACUUUAAGAAAGCAAAGGACAUGUACUUUUGCCUUCAUUUCAGAGAAUACAUUUUAAUUUCAAGAUUAUAUCUCAAGCAUAUGAUAAACACUCAC